UUCUUUAUUAAGAAUAUAUAUUUUCAAACUUGAAAUUGUAUUAAACAGUGUUACAAAAGAGUGAUAUCACAAAGCUACUAAAGGAGAAAUGUAAAAUAUAUGGGAAAAACAAAGAACAAAGAUUCAUGCCAUUGUUAUCUGACAAAUAUUUUCAUCGUUUAUAAUUUUUUCGUUAGCAUAUUCUAUUUCUUCUUGCAAUUUUCUUUUGAUCUUCCAUGACAAAAGUGAAUGUAACUGUAAUUUGUCUGAAAAUAUAUUUGGAAUUAAGAAAACAAAAGCAGUUAACUAUAGGCAGUUUUUUUUUUGCAGAUUAUUUAUUUUAUUUUUUAACUGAUAUUUAAUUUGUCAGCAGUUGAAUAUUAUGGAGUUCUAAAACAUGCAAUGUGUCGAUUUUUCAAUAGACUUUCAUUGAACAAUUAUGGAUUGGUCCCAAAUCUAACAUUCCAAAUGCUGCAAAGUCAAUUAAGAUGGAAGUUGGCUGGAGAAACUGCUGAGAUCUUAAACUUCCAGUCUGUGUCUUCCGUCUUAGCUGCCUGUAUAGACAACAAACGUGCAAUAAUACUCCAGUAAAAAGCUUCCUCGGCUUGAUCAUGUUCUACUUAACAAUUUUUAAAGAGCUUUGGCGCUGCCUGUAUUUUAACCUUUUGAAAAAUCUGUUUUUGGUGUAUUGGAGCUCAUAAUGACGACCAUCAACUAUGUUGCAAAGAGCUCUGGCUUUUACUUGCUGAUUCAAAAUCUAAAUUACCACAAAUCGAGUUUCAAGCCUCAGAGGUCACUGGAAGUGAUUAUGUUCACCUCAGAAGAGCCCACGAGAUUCGGGAUCAGCUGUCUGGGAAGGUUAGAAGCUUGAUCACUUAC